UCCCUGGUGAUCCAGUGGCUAAGACUCCACACUCCCAAUGCAGGAGAUCCAGGUUCAAUCCCUGGUCAGGGAA
rnacentral:tRNA from 1 species